rnacentral:rRNA from 1 species
CCUACGUGUGGCAGCAGUGAGGAAUAUUGGUCAAUGGGCGCGAGCCUGAACCAGCCAAGUCGCGUGAAGGAUGACUGCCCUCCGGGUUGUAAACUUCUUUUAUAAAGGAAUAAAGUGAGGCACGUGUGCCUUUUUGUAUGUACUUUAUGAAUAAGGAUCGGCCAACUCCGUGCCAGCAGCCGCGGUAAUACGGAGGAUCCGAGCGUUAUCCGGAUUUAUUGGGUUUAAAGGGAGCGUAGAUGGGUGGUUAAGUCAGUUGUGAAAGUUUGCGGCUCAACCGUAAAAUUGCAAUUGAUACUGGCAGUCUGGAGUACAGUUGAGGUAGGCGGAAUUCGUGGUGUAGCGGUGAAAUGCUUAGAUAUCACGAAGAACUCCGAUUGCGAAGGCAGCUUACUAAACUGCCACUGACAUUGAUGCUCGAAAGUGUGGGGAUCAAACAGGAUUAGAUACCCCAGUAGUC